rnacentral:rRNA from 1 species
GACGAACGCUGGCGGCGUGCUUAACACAUGCAAGUCGAACGGGCCCGCCCCUGUUUUUGGGGGUGGGUUGAGUGGCGAACGGGUGAGUAUCACGUGAGUAACCUGCCCCCUGCUCCUGGAUAACUGCUUGAAAGGGCGGCUAAUACGGGGUGUGCCGGCUGGUCCGCAUGGGCCUGGUCGGGAUAGUUUCAUCUUCGGGUGUUUCGGUGGGGGAUGGGCUCGCGGCCUAUCAGCUUGUUGGUGGGGUGAUGGCCCACCAAGGCGGUGACGGGUAGCCGGCCUGAGAGGGUGGGCGGCCACACUGGGACUGAGACACGGCCCAGACUCCGGCGGGAGGCAGCAGUGGGGGGUAUUGCACAAGGGGCGGAAGCCUGAUGCAGCGACGUCGCGUGAGGGAUGGAGGCCUUCGGGUGGGGAACCUCUUUCUCCGGUGGUGAAGGCCCUGUCCGUUGCGGCGGGGUUGACGGUAGCCGGGGAUGAAGCGCCGGCUAACUACGUG